ensembl:lncRNA
CCAUGGGCUCCUAGGGUCCUCCCGAAUUAUCUUUUUUUAAAGCCGUUUUUCACAUUCGCCAACUGCAGUGAGAGCAAGAGGGGAUAACCACAAUGAGAAAGAGGAAGCGUCCGAGACUCGGAAAUAUUGCGGUCCUCCUGUGGCCCCUGGGCUGGUGUUUGAUACCUCUUGCCCACAUAAGUGAAGGCCAAGGUCUGGAUUCACUUCUUCAAAUUGUGGCUUUCUAUCUCAUUGCCUCUUGGAUCCAGCCCUUCCUCCAAUCACUUCUGUGGCUCUCCAUUACUGUUCAUUCAACAAUUCCAUUUGGCGCCAUCUGUGCUGUUCCAGGGACCAUGGUGGAUACAUCAGUCUUGAGCACAGAUCCCUCCCUGGCUUUCAUGCAUCUCAGCAUCCCUGUCUGGAACUAGCUCUCUUCCUUCCUCCUUCACGGAUGCAGUGACUUACAGAACAAGUUCUCUCCAGGUGCAGCAGAGGUUCAUCAUUCCUUCCUCAUCUUUGCCAGCCCCUUUCUGUCCAGCUGUUGCUCUCUAGGUCCAGGUGGUAUAACUCUCCAUUCUUCAUCUGUCCAGAGCACAUGGGGACCUUAUUAUAUAGAAACAGCUUUCCCCCUGCACUUGUAUCCUGGGAGUUUGCAAGGGAGCAGACAGCCUUAUCCACCUUCUCUCUGUGCAUGCUGGUUACACUUGUCUCAACUACAGUCUUGGAUUUGGGACUGAGAUAAUAAUCAUUCUGCUGAGGAAGACAUAGCCUAGACCUUUGAAGGAAGAACUUGAAAAGCUUUAUGAAUCGUUAAUUCACUUUUUGUCUUAGUGAUGAUAUUUAGGACAGAAAGGGCAACCCCCCCAAAAAAAUGAUAAGGUCGUUGCUGACUACCAUACCAUCUUUUUGUAUGUUUAUUUAAACUCUUACCUUCUGUCUUAACAUUGAUUCUAAGGCAGAAGAGGGGUAAAGGCUAGGCAAUUGGGGUCUAUUGACUGGCUCAGGGUCACACCUAGGAAGUAUCUGAGGCCAAAUUUUGAACCCAGGACCUUCCAUUUCAGGAUCUAGUACUCUAGGUAUUACCUCGCUUCCCCUUCAUAUCAUCUUUUUUUAGGCAAGGAUUUUUUAAUUUAACCUAAUAUUAAUUUUUUCAGCACCAUAUAACUUCUAAAUGAUCAGUACUUCCUCUUCAAGCAGAACUGCAUUCUCCUCAAUACUCAAACUCAAUUACAGUCAACAUGACCACAGAAUCAAGGGGAGAAAUGAUUUCUGUUUAAGUGAAUACAUAUUAACAAAGGGCAAACAAGUAUCAGAAAAUACUGUGGCAAUGGGCUUAGUUCUUCUACUACUUCUCAUACUGGUAUGCAACGUAGUUACGGUUUUAUGUAAAAAUUUUCAAAUAACAAAUAGAAAAUGUUCAUGUAUAUCGGUUCAUGACUUUUCAUAUUCAUUCAAAUAUAAAAUGCUUAGCAAUGCAUAACCUAAGGGCAAGGUGUGCUGCUUUGCUUAGUUCUUAAAUGGUACCUAUAGCCAAAGAAGUCAGUACUUAAUAAGUAGUAGAAAGCGGAAUCUACGGGAAAAACCACUAUCCACAGUCAGAGGAAACACUGCGGGAGUAAAAAUGCCAAAGAAAAACAAUUGCUUGAAUACAUGGGUUGAAGGGAUAUGGUUGGGCAUGUAGACUCUAAAUGAGCAUCCAAGUGCAUGCAAACAACAACAACAUGCAAAUAGGUUCUGAUCAAGGACACAAGUAAUACCAAAUGAAACUGCAUGUUGGCUGCAGGAAAGGUGGGUGGAGGGGAGGGAGAGAAAUAGAGUAUUGUAACCAAAAAAAUAAAAUAAAAUAAAAAAUUUAAAAAAUAAAUAAA